rnacentral:rRNA from 1 species
AUUGAACGCUGGCGGCAGGCCUAACACAUGCAAGUCGAACGAGUGGCGCACGGGUGAGUCAUGUCUGGGAAACUGCCUGCUGGAGGGGGAUAACUACUGGAAACGGUAGCUAAUACCGCAAACCAUCAAAUGUGCCCCGAUGGGCUUAGCUUGUUGGUGGGGUAACGGCUCACCAGGGCGCCGAUCCCUAGCUGGUCGGAGAGGAUGACCAGCCACACUUGACCUGAGACACGGUCCAGACUCCUACGGUAGGCAGCAGUGGGGAAUAGUGUCCAAUGGGGUCAAGCCUGAUGCAGCGGUGCCGCGUGUAUGAAGAAGGCCUUCGGGUUGGAAAGUACUUUGAGCGGAGGAGCGUUACCCGCAGAAGAAGCACCGGCUAACUCCGUGCCAGCAGCGGCGGUAAUAC